rnacentral:rRNA from 1 species
AGAAUCAACGCUGGCGGCGUGCCUCAGACAUGCAAGUCGAACGAUUAAAGCUCUCUUCGGAGAGUGUAUAGAGUGGCGCACGGGUGAGUAACACGUAAGUAAUCUACCUUUGAGUGGGGAAUAACAUCGGGAAACCGAUGCUAAUACCGACAUAAUGCAGCGGC